rnacentral:rRNA from 1 species
GUGGGGAAUAUUGCGCAAUGGGCGGAAGCCUGACGCAGCCACGCCGCGUGAGCGAUGAAGGUUUUCGGAUCGUAAAGCUCUGUGGGGAGAGAAGAAGAAAGCCGGUGAAGAGCCGGCCAUGACGGUAUCUCCUUAGCAAGCACCGGCUAACUCUGUGCCAGCAGCCGCGGUAAUACAGAGGGUGCAAACGUUGCUCGGAAUUAUUGGGCGUAAAGCGCACGUAGGCGGUUUGGUAAGUUGGAUGUGAAAACCCCGGGCUUAACCCUGGAAGUGCAUCCAAGACUGCCAAGCUAGAGUGUCGGAGGGGGUCGGAGAAUUCCCGGUGUAGAGGUGAAAUUCGUAGAUAUCGGGAGGAACAUCUGUGGCGAAGGCGCCGACCUGGACGACAACUGACGCUGAGGUGCGAAAGCAUGGGGAGCAAACAGGAUUAGAAACCCGAGUAGUCC